rnacentral:rRNA from 1 species
UACGUAGGGUGCGAGCGUUAAUCGGAAUUACUGGGCGUAAAGCGUGCGCAGGCGGUUUUGUAAGCCAGAUGUGAAAGCCCCGGGCUUAACCUGGGAAUGGCAUUUGGGACUGCAAGGCUCGAGUGCGGCAGAGGAGACUGGAAUUCCUGGUGUAGCAGUGAAAUGCGUAGAUAUCAGGAGGAAUACCGAUGGCGAAGGCAGGUCUCUGGGCUGACACUGACGCUGAGGAGCGAAAGCGUGGGGAGCGAACAGG